GUGGGCAGGCCGCUGGCAGCCUGAAGGCGUGCCUCUGGUGGGGCUGAGUUGGUAAACACCAGCAGGGGCAUUGACCAACUGUUGUGACUGUGAAUCUACUGCUCUUGGAGUUUUGUCAGCGAGGCGGCAGUGUGUGGCUGCUGCCUGCCAUCAGGUGCCUUGCACUGAGGUCAGACUGCAAAGGGAAGCUAAGGGUGCAGGCACUUAGUGACCUUUUUUGUCACUGAAGGAAUUUCUGCAGGGCCCGCUUAGAGCUGGGAAGGUGUCUUUUCCAUCCAGGCUCAGCCCACACUGUCAUAAUGAUCUCCUGAUAUUGGCACAGCCACCAUGAGCUCUGCGGUUUGUUAUUGUGCUGCUGUGACACCGAAAAACACCAACUCUGGAGAAGAAUGGCAACUUUUCUUCUGCCUUGAGAGACAAGAAUAUCUGGAGGGGUUUCUCUGGAGGACCUCAGGAAAGUGGCAGCAGGGAGGCAGAUGUGUGCCUCAGCACUUCAGUUAUAUACAUGUGUUGAGUCCUUUGGAUGAGAAAAGACAACCAUGAGAUGUGGAAAGGGGAACAGUGAGCACAAAGGUAAUUCUCUGGCUGGGAUUUGACACUCAGUUUCUUGCUGCGGUAUAGAGAUUCUCUUUCAAAAGUAGAGAGACAUUAUUUUUGACUAUUUAAAAGAAUUUACCAUAGUUAAGUUUAUCCCCCUGCUGUGUUUUAAUCAGGCAUCCUUACAUGGAAACUUUGCUGUACAUCCUAAGUGCACUGCAGUGUGUUGCGUUGGUUGAACUUACGUGAUGAGAUCCUGUUGUCAUAGGAAAUACUGUUUGCAGUCCAAAACUAAAAGCAUUGCAUUCAUCCAGUUCCAUUAGUGAGCAAAGAAGAACUUCUCUGCAGAAGCUGAACUUCCACAAUCAAACACAAAAGUAGUAAUUUCAAGCCAAUGAACAUGGGUGAUCCUAUUUGCUUGCAGAAGGUUCCAUAGACAGAAAGCUCCAGUAGCUGGGACUUAGUGCAAGAAGUUGGUAAUAACACAGUGGAUGAACCUGCCCUCUCAGCAAGGGGAUUGAUGUGAAUCACCAAGUCUGCAUCUCCCUGGGUCAUGAGUGUACAGCCCUGCAUGGAGGGACUCGUCUUACUCAACUUCAGAAACCUUUUUCCAUGCUAAUCAUCUUGGUUGUUUCAUAGUUCAGGAAAGUAACAGGUCUUGCAUGUAUGUAGCAGGCACUUGCCUCAUCUGUAUCUUCCCAUAGAGUCUUGUAGGUCUCCUUGCUGGUGCCACCUUAUCUGCAGUUUACUGGGGAUACUGCAACAGUGUGUUCUCCCCUCCCUCCUUUCGUUCUCCCAACUUCAUCCUUCAGCCUGGCUUUGCACACAAGGCCUCACACAGGACGACAAUGAGCAACAGUACUGAUAACACUCUUGCUAAAACAGAUUAACUGCCUCAAAUCUGUCUCAAACUGGGGGACUGAAAGAACUGAUAGCAGGCACCUGGUUCAGCAGCUGAGGGCCAUAUGAGCAUGUCCCUAAAAACAGAGUAUGAAUAUGAGUCAGCCACCUUACUCUGUAAAUAGGGAGCAGCAGAAGAGCCCCUUGAGCUCUGCUACAUAACAGCUAGCUGCACAACAGGAUUUCCUCUUGAGCCAUCUCUUGAGGUUACAUCUGUGCAGAGAUCCCUUACACCUUGACGUCAAGGUGCCUUGCCAGUACAAUUCUCGGUAAGUGACUAAUUGUUUUAAGCUUUGUUGGCUCUGGUAAGAUUAUAUCUUAGAUUGAUGCUAAGCUUUUUUUUAGCUUCACUGAGACAGUGUCUUGGAUUGUUUGUGCACAAAUGAUCAACAAAUGUUGACCAAGUUUGGGACUGGGAGUGGAUCCGGCCGCACCUAGGCCCCUUACUUUCAUGGUUCAAGGAGUUUAGAAUGCACUCUAAAUCUCAUGACUCAAUGGGAGGGUCUUCUGUAUGUGUGUGUUUAACCCUACCCUCUAUGCAGUAUAUCAUCAAGUGUAUCCAGCCCAGCCAUCUCAGAUCUUUUUCUGUAAUUGUUAAAUCACUAUGUUAUAUCUGUAUUAUAUCAAUAAAUAUAUUUCUGCUUCUCUCUUACGAGUGAAGUGUAUAAUGAAGUCAUUUCUAUCCAUGACAGACACCCACCCCCUAAAGGAUGCAGGAAGCUCCUUGGUCAUUGAAGCGUAGUCAGGAGCAAUUCAGAUUUGCAUCUCAAGACGUCAUUGUAAGUUGAUCCCUUGUGAAAUGCUUCCUGGAAAAGAUUCACAAGUUUCAGGGAGAAAUGUAGCACAAGAGAGAAGAUGACCCUGUCAGGAUAGUUAGGACACAGAUGGUCCAGGUUCUCCUUGUGGGUGCAGAAGACGUGGGGUCAAGAUUGAAGAUUUCAGCUGGGUCUCCCAUGCUUCCAAGCUUUUCCUUCAUUAGUCGAUUGGCUUCUCCUGCCUCCUUGACAUAAGCUGAGACAGCCUUUACUAACAUGAGCAGCUGGCCAGGUAGUUUGAUGGACAAUAACAAAUAGACCAAAUACAGAAACUUAAAGGGAAUUCAUACUACUAUUUUUGGUUCUUCUUUACUCACACAUUCUGAAUACAUUGAACAGGUGGAUGCCUGGGUUCUUUAUUCCUAAAAGCAAUUCAUGCAAUUGAUUAGGGUGUUACAAGUUUAUGAUAUCACUGGUUCAGCAUGCAUCUUUGCUAACUGUUUUUAAAAAUCUCACAGUUUAGUCAUUUAUAACUAAUCUUCUAUAUGUACACGUGUACUUAUAUGUGUGACAUACUCAGACACCUGCAUGCACACAGAUACUUCCUACAGUCAUUGUUAAUUUCCAAGGCUGGGACAUCCUGGGCUGAGGCACUUCAUAUGGAAUCUGCUUUGGUAUGUACUCUGUGCUAUUUCAUAGACUUCUAGAUUCUAUAUUAGUGCAUUAACCCUUUUUUGUCCAGAGUCUGAUAAUGGUAAGUCUUCAUUCUUAUUAGGCCUACUCUGUUGUCCAGGCUUUGGGCUAUUUAGAACUUACACCCUGCGUUAUUUCAUGAACACCUGCAGUCUCUUGGUACUCUUAAAGUGCAUUUUUGACUGCAGAAUUUACUAGAAUGGCAAAGCGAUUUUCUGCCCAGCUUUUUUUUUUUUUUUUUGUGAAAUUGGGUUGUUGUUCUUACUGAUAAUCUUGCUGUUGUUUUCGUCUUACCCUGUUUACUUAAUACUCCUUCUGUGGGCAGUUUCAUGCGCUAGCCUAGAUGAUGCAGGAAUUGUAAUGCAUCUGCUGAGGUGUGUUGUUACACCAGUUUAUGUGGCCAAGGAGAUGAAUUGAUUAUUGAACACUUAGGUCUCAUUUGAAAGAACGUUAUGGCAGGGCUGAGGAGUCACUGAACAGAUACUGGGCUGAAAUUAAGGGAUGGAAGACUUUCCUGAUUCAUGAUCUCAUAAACAUCUACUGGGAAGGCAAGGUAAACCCAGAGGAAUGGCUUUUCAAGCCAUGGCUUGAAAAAAUUCACAACAAGAGUGGUUGUGAGGCUCAAAGUGUGGCUGAUUCAUGGAAUGGAGAAGGGGGAAUGAAGAAUAUCAGAAUACACACAUGGAGAUGGUUGCUUCAAGAACUGUACUGUAUUCAUAGAGAAACGCAAACAAAAAUGUUCCUUUAUGAAAGGAAUUAAAAAAUCCAAUGCUCCUUUUCUUGGAGCUUUGCACUAGUGUAUCCUCACUGGUACUGCCUGCUGGACUUUGUCAAUAUAUAUGGUACAAUAUGAAUUUGUAUUUAUGCAAUGAACUCCAACCAUAUAGUGAAUAAGAGACGAGCAAAUCUAUGAAACAGGGUGGCUUUUGUUGCUCCUUCUGUGCUGGGAAUGGAUAGAGUUGUGGGCAAAAGUGUCCGGGGUUGUUUGACCAGGGAAAGAGCUCUCAUAUAGAGCUUGCAGAAAAAAAAUGUGACCUCAUGCCAAGAUCAGUGGGGCAGAAAUGCACCCCUGU
ensembl:lncRNA